AUUGAACGCUGGCGGCAGGCCUAACACAUGCAAGUCGAACGAGUGGCGGACGGGUGAGUAAUGUCUGGGAAACUGCCUGAUGGAGGGGGAUAACUACUGGAAACGGUAGCUAAUACCGCAUACCAUCGGAUGUACCCAGAUGGGAUUAGAUAGUAGGUGGGGUAAAGGCUUACAUAGGCGACGAUCCCUCGCUGGUCUGCGAGGAUGAACAGCCACACUGGAACUGAGACACGUUCCAGACUCCUACGGGAGGCAGCAUUGGGGAAUAGUGCACAAUGGGAGCAAGCCUGAUGCAGCCAUGCAGCGUGUAUGAAGAAGGCCUUCGGGUUGUAAAGUACUUUCAGCGGGGAGGCGUUACCCGCAGAAGAAGCACCGGCUAACUCCGUGCCAGCAGCCGCGGUAAUAC
rnacentral:rRNA from 1 species